UGGAGCAUGUGGUUUAAUUCGAUGCAACGCGAAGAACCUUACCUGGUCUUGACAUCCCGGAGACCCUUAGGAAACUAGGGGGUGCUUCCAUCUGGAAGAAUCUGGAGACAGGUGCUGCAUGGCUGUCGUCAGCUCGUGUCGUGAGAUGUUGGGUUAAGUCCCGCAACGAGCGCAACCCUUGCCUUUAGUUGCCAGCAGUUCGGCUGGGCACUCUAAAGGGACUGCCGGUGUUAAACCGGAGGAAGGUGGGGAUGACGUCAAGUCCUCAUGGCCUUUAUGACCAGGGCUACACACGUACUACAAUGGCCGAUACAAAGGGCAGCGACACUGCGAGGUGAAGCCAAUCCCGUAAAAUCGGUCUCAGUCCGGAUUGGAGUCUGCAACUCGACUCCAUGAAGUUGGAAUCGCUAGUAAUCGUGGAUCAGCAUGCCACGGUGAAUACGUUCCCGGGCCUU
rnacentral:rRNA from 1 species